AAAAAACAUGAGGACUUCUUGGGAGACUUGAGGAGGUGGGUGGUGUCUGUCUGGAGGAAAGCUCUUGGGGUGAACUGAUGGCAGGAGGCUGGAGCCACACCACUUCCUCUCAAGUUCUGAGUGUUCUGACGAAUCAUCCGUCCUGGUUCUACAGUAAUUUUCUGCUACUAGUCUACUUGAAUGGAAAGUCGUCCGGCCACUGCCCUUGUCAAGCAACUGAAGUAGACCUAGAGAAGAAAGAGAGCUGACUGGGAGGCAACAGGGAGAGCCAUUCGAGGUGUUGGAAAAAAGUGUCAUUGAGUUUCCUGCUUGAGUUCUAUCAUCAACUGCCCCAGUAACGGAUUGUGACUUGGA
rnacentral:lncRNA from 1 species